rnacentral:rRNA from 1 species
CGAAAGCCUGACGGAGCAAUACCGCGUGAGGGAAGACGGCCUAUGGGUUGUAAACCUCUUUUCUCAGGGAGGAACUCAAUGACGUUACCUGAGGAAUAAGCAUCGGCUAACUCCGUGCCAGCAGCCGCGAUAAGACGGAGGAUGCAAGUGUUAUCCGGAAUCACUGGGCGUAAAGCGUCUGUAGGUUGCUUAACAAGUCAACUGUUAAAUCUUGAGGCUCAACUUCAAAAUCGCAGUCGAAACUAUUAGAAUAGAGUAUAGUAGAGGUAAAGGGAAUUUCCAGUGGAGCGGUGAAAUGCGUAGAUAUUGGAAAGAACACCGAUGGCGAAAGCACUUUACUGGGCUAUUACUAACACUCAGAGACGAAAGCUAGGGUAGCA